rnacentral:rRNA from 1 species
UACGUAGGGUGCGAGCGUUGUCCGGAAUUAUUGGGCGUAAAGGGCGCGUAGGCGGACUUUUAAGUCAGGGGUGAAAUCCUGAGGCUCAACUCCAGAACUGCCUUUGAUACUGAAGAUCUUGAGUUCGGGAGAGGUGAGUGGAACUGCGAGUGUAGAGGUGAAAUUCGUAGAUAUUCGCAAGAACACCAGUGGCGAAGGCGGCUCACUGGCCCGUAUACCUGACGCUGAUGCACGAAAGCGUGGGGAGCAAACAGG